rnacentral:rRNA from 1 species
UACGAAGGGUGCUAGCGUUGUUCGGAAUUACUGGGCGUAAAGAGCGCGUAGGCGGUUUGGUAAGUCAGAGGUGAAAGCCUGGAGCUCAACUCCAGAACUGCCUUUGAAACUGCCAAGCUGGAGUCUCGGAGAGGAUAGUGGAAUUCCUAGUGUAGAGGUGAAAUUCGUAGAUACUAGGAGGAACACCAGUGGCGAAGGCGACUAUCUGGGCGAGUACUGACACUCAGGCGCGAAAGCGUGGGUAGCAAACAGG